GCUGAAGUGAAGAUAACUUAUAACUGCACUCAACAAAGCUGGAGAGUAAAAAGAUUAGCUGAAGGUGCUGGUGACAUGAAAUAUUUCACAUCGACCAGAGCUAUUACCAAUUCAAGCAGAUGAGGCCUUGGUUUAACAUCUCAUCUAAAGGAUGACACACUCAGGAGUGCAGUGGAUUUAUUUAAAAAGGACCAGCAGCCAAAACUAUGGCUUUAUUUAAGCAGUACCAGGAACCAAGCUGUGAGUUUAUUCAAGGAGUACCUGCAGCCUAUCUGUGGAUUUAUUUAAAGAGUAGGGCCAAACUGCAAAUGCAUUUAAGGCAGUUUGACCAAGGCUGGAAUUAUUUCAUGGACAGACUUUAAAAACUGGAAUGGAAGUGGUAGUAACCCAAAUUAUAUUAAUACAAAAAUGCACUUGUUUCUGUUUUAAGUUAAAACUGAAGUUUGGCCUGGAUUUUUCACUGUAAAUAAACUGCAGCUAUCUGACAGAAA